rnacentral:snRNA from 1 species
GUAUUCACUUUAGCAGCACGUAUACUAAAAUUGGAAUGAUACAGAGAAGAUUAGCAUGGCCCCUGCACAAGGAUGACAUGCAAAUUCAUGAAGCGUUCCAUAUUAAA